rnacentral:rRNA from 1 species
GUGGGGAAUCUUCCGCAAUGGACGAAAGUCUGACGGAGCAACGCCGCGUGAGUGAAGAAGGUUUUCGGAUCGUAAAGCUCUUUCGUUAGGGACGAACGUGCUCUUUGUGAAUAAUGAGGAGUAAUGACGGUACCUAAAUAAGAAGCCACGGCUAACUACGUGCCAGCAGCCGCGGUAAUACGUAGGUGGCGAGCGUUGUCCGGAAUUAUUGGGCGUAAAGCGCGCGCAGGCGGGAUAUCAAGUCUGUCUUAAAAGUGCGAGGCUCAACCUCGUGAGGGGACAGAAACUGGUAUUCUUGAGUGUCGGAGAGGAAAGUGGAAUUCCAAGUGUAGCGGUGAAAUGCGUAGAGAUUUGGAAGAACACCAGUGGCGAAGGCGACUUUCUGGACGAUGUCUGACGCUGAGGCGCGAAAGCUAGGGGAGCGAACGGGAUUAGAAACCCUAGUAGUCC